rnacentral:rRNA from 1 species
UACGUAGGGGGGAAGCGUUGUCCGGAAUUAUUGGGCGUAAAGCGCGCGCAGGCGGUUCCUUAAGUCUGAUGUGAAAGCCCACGGCUUAACCGUGGAGGGUCAUUGGAAACUGGGGAACUUGAGUACAGAAGAGGAGAGUGGAAUUCCACGUGUAGCGGUGAAAUGCGUAGAUAUGUGGAGGAACACCAGUGGCGAAGGCGACUCUCUGGUCUGUAACUGACGCUGAGGCGCGAAAGCGUGGGGAGCAAACAGG